CAGCUCAUCUUUGGAAUCUUCUCCAGAGCUGCAACCCUCCAGGAUAGUUUAAAGAUAGCCUUCUGCAAGUGCUCAAGAUUAUCCAUUCCACUGGUGGAUAGAACGAAGAUAAAGCUUCCCUGGUUCUCUGCUUCCACCACACCAGCCUCCAAAUGCAACAGAUCUGUCUCGGCGCACUGAAACCUUCUGGGCUCUGCGACUUCAGAACCGUUGGCUCUUUUAUACAUGUUGUAUGAGAACGUCCAGGGGGUUUGGUUUGUGGGGGAAGGUUAUCAGCACUCUUACAGAACUAAUGGGGGUACAAUUACCAAUGGACCCCGCUGUACAUCUUCUAAAUGAUGACUCCCACCUUUCCCUUAUGGAAAAAAUGCGCAAAAUCUGGCUGGCAGGCCUGACUACAGCUAAGAAGAUUGUAGUCCAGCGUUGGAAACCUCCCCAUGAUAUUUCAAGUACUAACUGGCUUCGGAGCUUUUUGGACAUUUCUUACCUGGAAUUAUCAUCAGCAAGAGUACAUGAUGCACGACCAAACACAAUCUUAAUGUGGACAAAUUUG